rnacentral:rRNA from 1 species
GACGAACGCUGGCGGCGUGCUUAACACAUGCAAGUCGAACGAAGUGGCGAACGGGUGAGUAAUACGUGGGUAACCUGCCCUCCUUUUUGGGAUAAGCCUUGGAAACGGGGUCUAAUACCGAAUAAAGGGGGAUGGGCUCGCGGCCUAUCAGCUUGUUGGUGGGGUGAUGGCCUACCAGGGCGGUGACGGGUAGCCGGCAUGAGAGGGUGACCGGCAACAUAGGGACGGAGCGACCGACCAGCCUCCUACGGGAGGCAGCAGUGGGGGAUAUUGAACAAUGGGGGAAAGGAUGAUGCAGCGACGCCGCGUGGGGGAUGAAGGUUUUGGGGUUGUAAACCUCUUUCGCUAGGGAAAGGGUAGGUGGAGAAUAAGCGCCGGCUAACUACGUGCCAGCAGCCGCGGUAAUUC